rnacentral:rRNA from 1 species
UACGGGGGGGGCAAGCGUUGUUCGGAAUUACUGGGCGUAAAGGGCUCGUAGGCGGCCAACUAAGUCGGAUGUGAAAUCCCCAGGCUUAACCUGGGAACUGCAUCCGAUACUGGAUGGCUUGAAUUCGGGAGAGGGAUGCAGAAUUCCAGGUGUAGCGGUGAAAUGCGUAGAUAUCUGGAGGAAUACCGGUGGCGAAGGCGGCAUCUUGGACCGAGAUUGACGCUGAUGAGCGAAAGCUAGGGGAGCAAACGGG